CUUUUACACAACACAAUCAUGUUGUCUGUCCCCUUUUCUUCUACAAAUCUUCAAACACUCCCACCCAGGGAGGUGCUGGCAAGUAUCAGUGCUUUGGCCCCACUGUCUACAGUCUUAUCCAUUUGGCGCCUGAUCUAGUGCUCUCACAUUACCAGCAGUGGGUUCUGUUUUCGACUGUGAAAAGCUAACCCAUCAGGCAGACUGCUGCUUCCAGCUACCGUAGUCCCACAACAUGAUGUUAAGCUGUGUGGUGCUGUCUGAAUUUGACAAGGAACAUAUUAUGCAAAGCAGCGCUGGCCCUGUCCCCAGGAGCAAAACCACCUUGAAGCCACUCCAACGUCAGAGGAAAUGAGACAGGCCUUCCACUUCAGUUGGUGCUGAAGCAGGCAGAAAAGAACUGCAUGGCAGCAUCUGUCAGCAGCCUCAUGAUGUGAUGAUCUGUACUGUGGUGUUCUCAAAGAUGGAUGAUAAAAGAUAUUCCAGCAUACAUUAAAAUGGAGUUACAGUUCAAUACAUAGCAGUAACUUAAGGGUAAAAACAUUACAGGGAUGUUGAAAUUAAGCCAAAAACAAGCAUUAAAAGUCGAGAACCUUUGGAGUGAAAAUCCAACCAUGUUAAGAUAUGGAAACACAUAGUUAAGGUACCUUAACUCUGCCCUGUGGGGGACACUGCAAUAAGCAGAUGAUUAUUAGGAAACCAUCUUAGCAGUUGGUGUAGAUUAAACUGAUUUUUAAAGCUUUUAGGAGUUUUUCAUCUCUCUCCCCACCCUCAGGUAUCACUAUAGGACAGCAUUAAUGGUGUUUGGAUGCAUUAACUGUUUAUUUCUUGACCUAACGGAACAAAAGGGCUUUUGUAAAAUGGAGGUUUGAAUGAUGGGGAGAGAGAGCUAACUUUUCAGUAAGUUACAUGAUGAAGCAAGGUGCGGUUUCUUCUGAUUAGACUGAACACAUUUGUGGCCAAUGUCCUUGGAAACAAGACUUCACCCUCCUCCCCCCCCCCCCCCCCGCCCGCCACUUCCUCUAAUGGAGAAAUACUGGCACAUCAGGGAGACCUACUACAGCAGUAGAGAAAAACUGAUUACACAUAGGAAGGCCCCAGUCCUGCAACUGACUCCAAAUAGGCCUACCUUGGUGUCCAUGUAGAGCCCUGUUUGCUUCCAGAUGAGCCAGGGGUCCCCUGUGUGGUUCUCAGGGCAGGGUCAGGCACUACAUGUUUUGUUUUAAACAGGCGUAAGUAGAGAACGCAACAAACAGAAGAAGAAUAUGCUGAGGAGCAGCUUGUGCUUCCACCACAGUCAAACACCUACCUAGCACAGGAAACGUACCACCCAAGAGGGAGCUCUGGGGAGAGACCGUGACUCAGGAGGCACAAUGGCCCCAGCAGCUUCCCAGCACACAGGCAGUCAAGUCGCACCAUCAGUUUGUAGGGAGGCGGAUCUAUGGCCCUGCCUAUUCCCUAUGCUUUCUGGGGUAGCUUAAAGAGUAGGGCCUGUGUUCCUGUUAUGCCAGGCCCUGUGCAAGGAGUGUGGAAGGCUUAUUGCCCCUCUGCCACCAGCUGCACACCCACAUUAGGAUCCAAUGCAAUCAGCCCCGGCCUGUAGAGAUGGGCCUGUACCAAAUGCUCUGUGCCGAACACUACUGAACUCUGUGGAAUUUUGACUGGGAGCCCGAUUUUGUGGCUCAGGGUCAUUUCUAACACCAAACUACUGAUAUACCCAAGAGAAGUGAUUCACUUUGCUUCUGUAUGUUAUCAUACACUUCCACAAAGUAAGAACCAUCCUUCUUUUUGUUUUGUUUUGGUUUUUUGGGGGUUGUUUUAAAUAUGAAACUCUCAUUUGAAAUGUGAUCCUAUUCCCCAUUGGCCAGUUUACCAAAUAACAAAGCCAAUAGCAACAAAAGUAUCUUACGGAGUGCUUCACAGAAUAGAGUAAGGGCUAAAUUUUCAAAAGUGACUAGUGAUUUUUUGGGUGCCUCACGUGUUGCUGCCUGGCUUUCAGAAUGUGCUGAGCCACCCGCCCUCUGAAAAUUAGGCCCAUUUAAGAUGUCAGGUUGGGCACCCAAAAUUGCUGGUCACACUUGAAAAUUUAUGCUCAUGUAUGCUGUCUGGGUUACCAGGAUAGCUCCACCUGUGUGUGUGUCUCUCUCUCUCUCUCUCUCUCAUUCUCUCAGUGAACCCCGUGAGCUCUUAGGUCUCAUGCCUUCACCUCUGCUGGGGUGGGAUCCCUGAUUUUCCCACUUUCCGAGCAGGGUCCUGGGCUACAGCCAUCUGUGUACCAACUGUGGUUACUCAGCAGACGUGACUGGUUUUGAUACAUGGAGUUCUUCCCUUUUGGGAGCGUGUCGACCAUCGUUAAUAUAGGUAGCCAGACAGCUUUCUCAGGCCAAAAGUAUGGUUUAACCUUAACAGCAGGAACAAAGCAUAUCCCAAGAGAAGAAAGGGUUUUAACACAGUAAAAGUCUUAUACACAUGUCCAUCUUACCGUAAACCUGUCCAGCCUGUGGUAGUGUGCCAGGCAACUUUUUAGUGCUUCAGUUCCUCCAUAGAAGCUUCCUCUGUCAGUCUGUUCUCUGUGAACAGCUCCUGACAACUGCCUCCCCUCUGUGGCAUUUUUAACUCUUUAGUGUCUUUUAGCCUCUUGGCUCCUAGCCUUUGGCUGGAGACUGGAAGUAGCAUCUUCCCAGCUAAAAGCUCAGGCAUUCUCUUAAGGAUCCCUGCCAUGUUUACCACGAGGUUGCUUAAGAAGCUAUUAUGUUGCCUUCCUACUAAUUUCCCAAUACCCCUGCUUUUAAACGAAACUAAUAUAUGUAUACAGUAAACAUUCCAAUAACCCAAUAAAGCCAUAAAGUUAACUACCCCAAUAACAACAUUCUCAAAUUAUUACGGAUUAGCCCCACAUCCUUCACAUAUACGACACCAAUGAAAUGCAGUCCCCUUUGGGGCAGAGCUUAGAGAGGUAGCGAGUUGGCACAGUGCAUAAGUGUGGAUGGCAGGGGAAGCUUUGACCAAAGAUGUUUUAUAUAUACUACUUGGAUGAUUAGUAAGCAGAGAGAAACCGAUUCCACAUUCAAUCAAGCUACAAAGGAUUUUUGAGGGAAAAAAAUCCUAUCAUCCCAAACAUAAACUCAUCCUCUGUGAAUUAAAGUAGGAUUUGCAACAGCAAAAACUCAGAUAUUGCACAUUUCUGCCUCAAAUGUACUUUGUGAAAAUAAUUAUAGUUUUAACAGUGAAAAGCUAUCAUUUCUGUGCACAAAAACUUGGUAGCUUUUUUCUCACAGCUGUAAAAAAAAAAAAAAAUGCAAAGAACUGAUGGUGCUGUCUGGGUAGUUUAUAUGGCCUCCAUCACUGUAGUACCUGAGCACCUCAUACGCAUGAGCCUUACUGUAUCCCAGUGAGGUGGUAUGUUUAUUAUCCCCUUUUUACCGAUGGGGAACUGAGGGGCACAGAGAAACUGUGACUUACCGAAGGUCAUACAGGGAAGAUGUGGGAAAGCCAGGAAACUAACCUAAAUGUCCUAAAUCCUUGUGCAGUGUCUUGACCACAAGGUCAUUUUCCCCUAAAUUCCCAGUUCUCUUUCCCCUUUGUUCCCUCAGACUUGACUGGAUGAAAUUCAGGGAGCACUACUUGUAAAUGUCCCAAGUGCUUGGGCUUUAAAACUUGUCGGAGCCCUGUGAGAAGAGACCAGAUGAAUGGCUCCUGCAAGUGACUCAACAUUCAGAGCAAGCUGCUGGCUGUUUAGAAGGCACAUGAGACUGUCCAACUGAUUUCACAUUGGACCUCUGGCUGAAAUUGUGUGUGUGUCCCAGAGGUAAACUGUGAUGAUGCCAGAACAGAGAGCACACAGUUGGGCUGCCACACUGGGCAGGGAAUGUUACAGGAAUAGAUAUUCUUACAAGCUUUCUGUUUUUGAUCAAGCCAAAUCCAACCCUCUGAGAGAGCUACCAUUCCACAAAGAUUCUACAGCUAGACAAGCUCUGAAUGGGACUCUGAUGUGCACAUAAUUUUCAGCUUCUGUGGAACACUUUACCAGAGGAGACCAAACAGACCAGGCCCAGCAUCUAAAUGCAAGAUCCAUCUCUUUGAUAAAGCUCCCAAGCAAGCCUGUUCCUGCAGAAUUUUCAGCCCAGUCUCGCAGGGCUGCUGUGAAAAGUUUAUAGUAUUCAGAGAAUAAUUUGCUGAUUUGAGUGCUUAUUUGAACUUCCAAAUACAAAACCAGGCUUGUAUCCAUUAAAGACGUUUUUCAGAUUUAAUCAGAUGCUAAUCUUGUUGUUUAUGCACAAAAAUCUGAAGUCCUUACUCAAGCAAACUUUCUUUGAAGAAUGUGAGUAAGGACUUAGAGAGUGGCCCACUCUGUUAAUUGUAUAAUUAGAGAGUCCGCUGUCCCCAGCAAGGUUUAUUUUUAACACCUCUCUUCAGUAAUCAUCAUCAAGGGGAAGGAAUAGUCUCUUUUCCUGAUACUUCCCACUCCUUUUUUUUUUUUUUCUAUUCUCUCUUGAGGUUGGAUUUUGUUAUCUGAUUUGACUUCCCUUCAAGCGAAAGUCUGACUUAAUAGAAUGUAGUUGUAUUGUCCUUCACCCCAAACUCAUGGCUCCUUUAUCCAGCUGGGUUUUCUUUUUAGAGCACUGCCACCCAUUUUCUGUUGACUGGAAGAAGCAGAGUAAUCCACAGGUACUUAAAUUUGAUCCACCUGUAUCAACCAGCCAGUCACUUCUAAAGAGGACUGGAGAGAUUUUAACAAAUAAAUCAAGGCCACACAGUGUUAACAAGCCCCCACAAGAAAAGGUAACUGAAUACUCAAACUUCUAUCGCUGUAUGAAAUGGACUGGAAAAUUUAGACAAAUGCCAGUUGGAUUCUCUCCACAUUUGGAUAGCAACUCCAGAUUGCCACAGGGAAAUGGUAGUUCUACCAAGAAAGCAUGUGAAAUAUGCUUUUCCACUUUUUAUUAAAAGCUUUUAAAAAAUUCCAGAGCAAAUUUUCCAGAGCACUUAAGUGACUUGGGACUUGAUCCUAUACCA